rnacentral:lncRNA from 1 species
GGGAGUGCUCAUGCGCAGAGGAAAGGCCGUAGGAGGAUGCUAUAAAAAGGCUGUUGUCUGCAAGCCAAGGGGUGAGGCCUCGGGAGAAACCAAGCCUGUUGACACCACGAUCUUGGACUUCCACCCCUUCAGAACCGAAAAAUGUUAUCACUGUUGUUUUCCACCAUCUUUACUAAUGUGAGUGCAUUGAUUUCAUCAAAGAUGCAAGCUUAAUAUUCACACCAGACUUAUUGCCUUUGGAGGAAGUCCUGAGACUUAGGAACUGACUAAAAACCUCUCUUGAGAAUCUUGCCAGUGGCAUCAUUACAAGCUCAAACUAACCUAAUGCUGGAGAAUGAGAGACCACAUAGGUAAGAGAUGAGUAAUCUCAGCUAAGGACAUCCUAGACCAGCCACACUCAACCAAUCCUAGACCAGUCAACACAGCUAAUCUGCCACUUGACCCUAAUUACAUAAACAAAUCAAGGAAAGAACAGUCUUGCCUUACUCAGACGCAGCCGUAGACGCCAGCUCCGAAAUCACCAUCAAGGACUUAAAGGAGAAGAAGGAAGUUGUGGAAGAGGCAGAAAAUGGAAGAGACGCCCCUGCUAACGGGAAUGCUAAUGAGGAAAAUGGGGAGCAGGAAGCUGACAGUGAAGUAGAUGAAGAAGAGGAAGAAGGUGGGGAGGAAGAGGAGGAGGAAGAAGAAGGUGAUGGUGAGGAAGAGGAUGGAGAUGAAGAUGAGGAAGCUGAGUCACCUACGGGCAAGCGGGCAGCUGAAGAUGAUGAGGAUGACGAUGUCGAUACCAAGAAGCAGAAGACCGACGAGGAUGACUAGACAGCAAAAAAGGAAAAGUUAAACUAAAAAAAAAGGCCGCCGUGACCUAUUCACCCUCCACUUCCCGUCUCAGAAUCUAAACGUGGUCACCUUC